UGGGGAAUUUUGGACAAUGGGGGAAACCCUGAUCCAGCCAUCCCGCGUGUGCGAUGAAGGCCUUCGGGUUGUAAAGCACUUUUGGCAGGAAAGAAACGUCAUGGGUUAAUACCCCGUGAAACUGACGGUACCUGCAGAAUAAGCACCGGCUAACUACGUGCCAGCAGCCGCGGUAAUACGUAGGGUGCAAGCGUUAAUCGGACUUACUGGGCGUAAAGCGUGCGCAGGCGGUUCGGAAAGAAAGAUGUGAAAUCCCAGAGCUCAACUUUGGAACUGCAUUUUUAGCUACCGGGCUAGGGUGUGUCAGAGGGAGGAAGAAUUCCGCGUGUAGCAAUGAAAUGCGUAGAUAUGCGGAAGAACACCGAUGGCGAAGGCAGCCUCCUGGGAUAACACUGACGCUCAUGCACGAAAGCGUGGGGAGCAAACAGG
rnacentral:rRNA from 1 species